CCUACGGGAGGCAGCAGUGAGGAAUAUUGGUCAAUGGGCGCGAGCCUGAACCAGCCAAGUCGCGUGAGGGAUGAAGGUUCUAUGGAUCGUAAACCUCUUUUAUCAGGGAAUAAAGUGUGGGACGCGUCCUCUGUUGUAUGUACCUUAUGAAUAAGGAUCGGCUAACUCCGUGCCAGCAGCCGCGGUAAUACGGAGGAUGCGAGCGUUAUCCGGUUUUAUUGGGUUUAAAGGGUGCGUAGGCGGAGUAUUAAGUCAGCGGUAAAGAUUCGGGGCUCAACCCCGUCGUGCAGUUGAAACUGGUAUUCUUGAGUGGGCGAGAGGUAGGCGGAAUGCGUGGUGUAGCGGUGAAAUGCAUAGAUAUCACGAAGAACUCCGAUUGCGAAGGCAGCAUGCCGGAGCCCAACUGACGCUGAGGCACGAAAGCGUGGGUAUCGAACAGGAUUAGAUACCCGGGUAGUC
rnacentral:rRNA from 1 species